rnacentral:rRNA from 1 species
UCUCUAGCGGAGGAAUGAACCAACAGGGAUCUAGCCUCAGUAACGGCGAGUGAAGCGGCCACGAGCUCAAAUUUGAAAUCUGGCGCCUCCGGCGUCCGAGUUGUAAUUUGGAGAGGAUGCUUCGGGUGCGGCCGCGGCCUAAGUCCCCUGGAACGGGGCGUCGCAGAGGGUGAGAAUCCCGUCUUUGGUCGCCGGUGCGCGCCCGUGUGAAGCUCCUUCGACGAGUCGAGUUGUUUGGGAAUGCAGCUCUAAAUGGGUGGUAAAUUUCAUCUAAAGCUAAAUACUGGCGGGAGACCGAUAGCGAACAAGUAGAGUGAUCGAAAGGUUAAAAGCACCUUGAAAAGGGAGUUAAACAGCACGUGAAAUUGGUGAAAGGGAAGCGCUUGCCGCCACACUCGGGCGCGAUCCACCGCGGGGGAGGCCCCGGUCCAGGGGAAUAAGCCGGGGCGGACCCAAAGGACCCCCCCAAAAAAACACGGGAAGCGGAGGGCCGCCAAAUUCAAAAUCGGCCCGGGGCUCCCCCCCAAGAGAGCAACCCGGGGGUCCUUCGG